CUGCAUGGCUGUCGUCAGCUCGUGUCGUGAGAUGUUGGGUUUAAGUCCGUAACGAGCGCAACCCUUGUCCUUAGUUACCAGCACGUUAUGGUGGGCGACUCUAAGGAGACUGCCGGUGACAAACCGGAGGAAGGUGGGGAGUGACGUCAAGUCAUCAUGGCCCUUACGGCCUGGGCUACACACGUGCUACAAUGGUCGGUACAAAGGGUUGCCAAGCCGCGAGGUGGAGCUAAUCCCAUAAAACCGAUCGUAGUCCGGAUCGCAGUCUGCAACUCGACUGCGUGAAGUCGGAAUCGCUAGUAAUCGUGAAUCAGAAUGUCACGGUGAAUACGUUCCCGGGCCUU
rnacentral:rRNA from 1 species